rnacentral:rRNA from 1 species
CCUACGGGAGGCAGCAGUGGGGAAUAUUGCACAAUGGAGGAAACCCUGAUGCAGCAACGCCGCGUGAAGGAAGACGGUUUUCGGAUUGUAAACUUCUGUUCUUAGUGAAGAAUAAUGACGGUAGCUAAGUAGCUAGCCACGGCUAACUACGUGCCAGCAGCCGCGGUAAUACGUAGGUGGCAAGCGUUGUUCGGAAUUACUGGGUGUAAAGGGAGUGCAGGCGGGAAGACAAGUCAGCUGUGAAAACUACGGGCUUAACUUGGAGACUGCAGUUGAAACUGGUUUUCUUGAGUGAAGUAGAGGUUGGCGGAAUUCCGAGUGUAGCGGUGAAAUGCGUAGAUAUUCGGAGGAACACCAGUGGCGAAGGCGGACAACUGGGCUUUAACUGACGGUGAGGCUCGAAAGUGUGGGGAGCAAACAGGAUUAGAUACCCCGGUAGUC